GGAAUAUUGGACAAUGGUCGCAAGACUGAUCCAGCCAUGCCGCGUGCAGGAAGACGGCCCUAUGGGUUGUAAACUGCUUUUGUACCAGAGAAAACCUAUCUACGUGUAGAUAGCUGAUAGUAUGGUAAGAAUAAGCAUCGGCUAACUUCGUGCCAGCAGCCGCGGUAAGACGAAGGAUGCAAGCGUUAUCCGGAUUCAUUGGGUUUAAAGGGUGCGUAGGCGGGCUUGUAAGUCAGUGGUGAGAUCUCUCAGCUUAACUGAGAAACUGCCAUUGAUACUGCAGGCCUAGAGUAUAGAUGACNUUGGCGGAAGAUGACAUGUAGUGGUGAAAUACUUAGAUAUGUCAUAGAACACCGAUUGCGAAGGCAGCUAACGAAACUAUAACUGACGCUGAGGCACGAAAGUGCGGGGAUCAAACA
rnacentral:rRNA from 1 species